UAUGGAUUUUGGACUAUUACAGUUUCAGAAGGAAAGUAGGUAUUACAUAAUUAAUAGUCCUUGGAAUUUAUAAACCAUUGAACUUACAUAUGACUGGAGAAAGAAGGGAAGGAACGAUCGUACCCAAGGCAUAAAGAAAAACUGUUGUUCCCAGCUGUUGCUCACAAUGCAGAGUUCAGUUGCUUUCGUUCUGCUUCUGGUGUUCUCCAAUUUGUUCUCCACUGGCUUGAGUUUGACGCAAGAGACCGAGUACACUUGCGCCAAGUCUUUUGAUCUCCCGGUAUGUGACAAGUUUGCCUGUGUCCAGAUAUGCGUGAAAGAAGGUGAUGGAUGGGAAAACGGGGCAUGCAUCGGCCAACAUAAAUGCUGCUGCAAGUUCCUUUAUAGGCACUAUUAGUUCCCCUUCACUCACAAAUGAUGUUGCAUCAUCUCAUCUGAGAUGAUCAAUCCUUCUUCUUCUUUUUUUUUGGUUUGUUUUUGGCGCAAGAGGAUAAUAAAUCGUAUCCUGGACUUGCAUGUGGGAUAUUUUUAGAUGGACUAGCAAUGUUGAUCAAUCCAUUGGGAACAAUAAUGUCAAAUUUUCUUGUGCA